rnacentral:rRNA from 1 species
UACGUAGGGGGCGAGCGUUGUCCGGAUUUAUUGGGCGUAAAGAGCUCGUAGGCGGCUUAGCAAGUCGGGUGUGAAAACUCCAGGCUCAACCUGGAGACGCCACUCGAGACUGCUAUGGCUAGAGUCCGGUAGGGGACCACGGAAUUCCUGGUGUAGCGGUGAAAUGCGCAGAUAUCAGGAGGAACACCGGUGGCGAAGGCGGUGGUCUGGGCCGGCACUGACGCUGAGACGCGAAAGCGUGGGGAGCGAACAGG